CAAGUCGAACGAGAAAGUCCGCAAGGAUGAGUAAAGUGGCGUACGGGUGAGUAACACGUGGAUAACCUGCCCUUUAGUGGGGAAUACCGCUGGGAAACCGGCGACAAUACCGCAUAAGCUCGAGAGAGGAAAGCAGCAAUGCGCUGAAGGAGGGGUCCGCGGCCGAUUAGCUAGUUGGCAGGGUAAAAGCCUACCAAGGCUGUGAUCGGUAGCCGGCCUGAGAGGGCACACGGCCACACUGGCACUGAAACACGGGCCAGACUCCUACGGGAGGCAGCAGUGGGGAAUCUUGCACAAUGGGGGAAACCCUGAUGCAGCGACGCCGCGUGAGCGAUGAAGCCCUUCGGGGUGUAAAGCUCUUUCGGCAGGGACGAUUAUGACGGUACCUGCAGAAGCAGCUGCGGCUAACUACGUGCCAGCAGCCGCGGUAAUACGUAGGCAGCAAGCGUUGUUCGGAGUUACUGGGCGUAAAGGGUGCGUAGGCGGCUUCUUAAGUCUGGUGUGAAAUCUCCCGGCUCAACUGGGAGGGUGCGCCGGAUACUGAGGGGCUAGAGUGUGGGAGAGGAAAGUGGAAUUCCUGGUGUAGCGGUGAAAUGCGUAGAUAUCAGGAGGAACACCGGUGGUGUAAACGGCUUUCUGGACCAUAACUGACGCUGAAGCACGAAAGCGUGGGUAGCAAACAGGAUUAGAUACCCUGGUAGUCCACGCCCUAAACGAUGCAUAUUUGGUGUGGGCCAUUCAUUUGGUCCGUGCCGGAGCUAACGCGUUAAAUAUGCCGCCUGGGGAGUACAGUCGCAAGGCUGAAACUCAAAGGAAU
rnacentral:rRNA from 1 species